UUGUCGCGAGGACCGCCCCGUUAACCCUUCAUUCUGUCUCGGUGUCCGGAUAGCUCGCCUGUUUGCGUGUGUGCCUUUCCGUUAGUCCAGCCUGGAGGAUAAAAGCUUUUCCGGAGUCGGUUCUGUGGUCAUCUUGUUCACCAACACUCACGGUUUCCGUAGUCCACACUCUUAGCUCUGAAUCUCUGGGCAGAUUAGUAAGCACCUCGGAAAUCACCUCAGGGUCUCCCAAAGAUGCUGGUUCCUCAAAGAUGCCAUCAUCCCUAGAAAACAAGAAGCAGUCUAUAGAACAUGACACCCACAUUCCCAAGAGGAACAAGUUCAACUAUGUCGGACAUUGCUGAGAUAGACUUAUGUCUACUCCUUGAUUAAAUGAUAAAUGAGAGUGGGCGAGGGGGGCCAGCAGCUUGCAUUUGGACAUAUUAAGUUUGAAAAGCAGAGCAGACAUCCAAGUAGACAUGUCAACAGCUUGCUGGGGAUCCAAGUCUGUAGUUCUGGGCAAAGGCCUGGGCUGGAGUUCUGUCUGAGCUGUUAGCAUACAGACAGUGUGUACAGCCAAGCGACAAGUCAGAUGAAGUCAGAAACUAGAGGAAAACAGAAAAGGAGAGUCAUGGAUGAGAGAAUUAUGGAGCCGCACCAGCAUUAAAGAUGUGGACCUUGAGGAAGGAUCUUCAGCAAAGGAUGCUGGGAAGGAGCUAGUGAGGCAGGCGGAAACGCAGGUGUGAGUUCCAGAAGGGAGAUGAAGAGAGAAUCAAUUAUGCCAAGUGCUGUUGAUAGAAAGUCGAGUGAGGACUGGUUACUGAUUAUGUCUGAUGCGCUAAUUUAGCCUCUCCAUUCUUCAGUCUCAGCUUACUCCUUCAAAUCUCAUCCAAGCGCAUUUUUUUUUUUGGUACCUCUCUGCAUCAGCCAGCAUUUCCACAUCCUUUUGUCUCUUCUUGCAGAAAUCCUUCAAGCCUUCACCACCUGUUCUCCAGAUCACAGCAGUAAAAGGCUGCAGUGGCAGAAGUCUUAUGCAGAAGCCUUUUUAUAAAGGGAAGGUGAUCAGACAAAGGAAGCCUGUGAAGUUUGAUAAUGAUAUAUAUGUAUUCUAAGGAGUUUUAAACAUAACCAUUCUAAUGCACUAGCUACCAUAGAAAUACUGAUUAAAAUAAGCUGGCUACCCCACUCCCCUAAACCAAAUUGGCAUUUUAAAAGGCAUACUCAGCUAUGGACAAGACAUAGCAGGCAUGCCUUGUCUUGCUGGUGGAAGUGUUAAUUGCUAAAACUUUUCUAAGGGCAGCUUGGUAAUACAGAACAAUACUUUUUGUAGGUUUUUAUUUUCUUGACACUUUCGGGUCCAAUAAUUUUUCCUUUAACAGUUUAUUGUAAGGAAAGCACCAUCUAGACUUCUAUAAAAGGAUGUUCACAUCAAUGCUAUUUCUUAUACAUCUUAGGAUAUGGAAUUAAGUAAAAUUUUCUAUUUCUGUAGAACACUGAAACUCCUGAGUAUUGUUUCUGACAAGACUUACAGGCAUAAAACAGCAAAGAAAAUCAAAAUCAUUUAAUAUUCUACUUUGGAGCUUAAGUCAGCAAAUUCUGACACAGAUUCAGAACAAAACUCCUGCAGAAAAAGAAUUUUAACAAUAAGAGAACCUGUCUACAAAAUGUAGUCAAAGAAAAAAAAAGAAAUGAAACUAACUAUAAAAUGAUGCUAUGAUUCUACUGUUUAAAAGAAAGAGAAUAGAAAAAAAUAUUUAAAAAUCUAUCAAUAAAAGUCUCACUAGUAAUCAUUUCAAGAUUCUCAAUAAUAAUUAUUCUUUAACCUGCUUGACCUUGUUGGACUUUUUACUAAUUCUAGAAUUUUGCUGAGGGCCUGCCAUGCAGAUAUUUGGGAUGCAUUAAUGAGAACAAAUAAUUCCCACCCUUGCAGUGUUUACAACCUAUUGAAGAGACACAGUUGAUAGAUUGUAAUGAAGAAGAAAUUAUAUAACCUCUUAUAAGAGGUGAUGAAUGGUGGAGGAAAACAGUAAAUGCAAACAAGGGGCUGGAAAUGUAUGGCUAUGUGAUGGUUAACCUUCAUCAUCAACUUGGCUUGAUUAGGAGUCACCAUGGGAACACCUCUUGGCAUGACAGUGUGGGCAUUUCCAGAAAGGUUUAACUGAAGAGGAAAGACUCACCCUAAAUGUGGGCAGCACUGUCCCUGAGCUAGAGUUCCAGACUGAUUGAGAAGGAAAAAGCCAGCUGAGUACCAGUGUUCAUCUCUCUCGGCUUCCUGACUGUGGUUGCCAUGCGACCAGCUACCACACGCUCCUACAGCUCCAUCAUCCCUGCCAUCCCUGCAGCAUCAAACUGUGAGCCAAAAUAAACCCUUCUUUCCUGAAGUGGCUUUUGUCACCUCUCCUGUCAAAGCAAUGAGAAAAAUAAGGAGCAUGGACUGCAGCUUUCAAUCCAGCAGUCAUGGCGGAUCUCACCGAAGAGGAGGCAUUUAAGGAAAACAUUACAGACAUGAGGCAUUACCACCUGAAUGUUGAGGAAGAAACUUUCCAGAGGGGACAUUUGGCAGUGUCUUGGAGGCAUUUUGGUUGCCAUGCCCGGGAGAUACAGUGUUACUAGCAAUCUACUUGGGAGAUUGCUAAAAAUCCCUCAGUGUGUGGAACAGCCCUUUCUCUGUUUCAUCCAACCCCAAACACCAGUAAAUCAAGAAACUCUGGUUGACUCUGAAGGCAAAAGAAAGGAAGAGAAAAGAGACCCUUAGCAGAAGUUGUUACAUAAAUGGAUAAAAUAGAAUUUUUCCUCCAAGCAAGGCUAGAAGUGAGGCAGAAUAUUCAAUAUGAAAAGUGCCUGUGAAGCAAAUGCCACAGCUCCAUGAUGACAAAGGCCUACAGUCUUAGUGUGAAAACAACUUAGCCUUGAAAAUAAUCGAGUUCCUGUCAUCCCACUAUACUGCUGUUUUCACCCUCACACCAUGACCCUUUCUUCUCUUCUUGGUGUGGCUGGAGCCUGUGCUUCUAUGGAUGCUCACUGUCCUCCAAUGGAAUGUCCUCCCUUCUGCUCUGCUCCUAGCAGCUCCAGUCACUACGGGAAAGGGAGAUUCUAGACUGUAUGAGAGAAGGCUGGUCUUUCAGAAAAGAAUCCAAGUGAAUAUAUGCCUCCUCUCUUUUGUGAGAUCCCACAGAAAUACAUGAAAUUAUAUUAAUGAGAAAGAAGCUAUAACAUGCAUGUACAUUGAAAAGAGCCAGCAAGAGAAAAACAUUGGCUUGAGUGGGAGAAGAAAAAGAACAAAAUAGAUUGAAUUGAUGGAAAAAUGCAACAAGGUAUUCAGAAUCUAUUAAUGGGGCUAAUAAAUAUUCUCCAAAUGAAGUGAAAUUGCCAGAAGAAAUAAAAAUGUGGGGUCAG